rnacentral:rRNA from 1 species
UACGUAGGUGGCGAGCGUUGUCCGGAAUUACUGGGUGUAAAGGGCGUGUAGGCGGGUAGAUAAGUCAGAUGUGAAAUACCGGGGCUCAACCCCGGGGCUGCAUUUGAAACUGUCAAUCUUGAGUGCCGGAGAGGAAAGCGGAAUUCCUAGUGUAGCGGUGAAAUGCGUAGAUAUUAGGAGGAACACCAGUGGCGAAGGCGGCUUUCUGGACGGUAACUGACGCUGAGGCGCGAAAGCGUGGGGAGCAAACAGG